UCAGUCCAUGGUUCCUUGGCCACAAGUGCUUGGGUAGAACAUUAUAGCAGCAGAAACAUGUAGAAGAAGAUGAGGCUGCUGUACCUGUUUGUCAAAGAUCCUGUUUUCUGUUUCUUCC